CGAGAAGCAGGCCUUGGGGAUGUUUUCCUCCAGUUGCUGUGCUUUGCCUCAGAUUUUCCAAAUCCUGCUCAGGAGGUUGUUCCAUUGACUCGGGCAGAAUGGCUUUAUCCCUCAUCCUGGGUCUGGGUGCCUGCACUGCCAGCCCUGGAGUUCUUGGGACCGACUCACUCAGUGAUGCUGGGUCCCCACUGAGUGACCGAGGAGCUUAGUCCUUGCCCUCGGAGAGAGCUAGGUUUCGCCUUUGACCAGCACGUGAAUCGUGUGAGAGCAGGUCUCCGAGUGCUCGCAUCCCUUCCCUGAAGUCUGCGGCCUGUGGUUUACUCAUGCUGUAUUUCCCACGAGCUGGUGUUCAGUUACCUUCGUGCAUUUCUUCUGCGUGGACCUCCAGGCUCCAAGCGCUGACUGCGUAGGAGAAUAUUUUUCAAAACGAUUGCAUCCUGUGAAUGGAAAGAGAAGAAACUCAACAACAUAACAGAUUCACUAAUGGGUCGACGAAGAGACCAAGUACUGAACAAGGAGCAGAGAGUACGAGGAUUGGAAAAGUGUCAUUCGCUUCAGUCAUGUCCGACUCUUUGUGACCCCCAUGGACUGCAGCCCUCCAGGCUCCUCUGUUCAUAGGAUUUUCCAUGAGAAAAUUCUUUCCAGAGAAGCACACUGGAAUGGGUUGCCAUUCCCUUCUCCAGGGGAUCUUCCCAAGGUGGGGAUCGAACCCAGGUCUCCUGCAUUGCAGGCAGAUUCUUUAUUGUCUGAGCCACAAAGGAGAAAUGAAAUCUGCAAAGCAUCGGCCCUGGUAGGUGCAGCUUCCAUAGCCUCAGACUCAGCCGAGCAGAGGGUUGACUGCACUUUGCCAUCUUAUGUAAGAGACUUGGGCAUCUUGGGAGUCUGAUAUCUCCGGAGCUCCUGGAACCCAGAGUCCCCUGCUCACCUUUCUCCUCUGGCAACGUGUAGAAAUCAAAUUCCAGAAGGGUCUAAUAUAACGUUCGAAUUAAUGAGUUUUGCAAGGUCACCGUGCUGACACCCAUGGUGCUGCGUGUCAUGUGACAGAGGUAUUUUCCAAAGACGCCCACAGCAACCUCUUCUGCCCACACAGUCCUCUGCAGUGUGACCUUACCCCUCCCCUCUCAAGGGAUGGGGCUUCCUGCCCCUCCCCUCAAAUCUGAGUGACCCAAAGAAGGGUGCUGCAGAAGGGUACGCAGAAGUGGUGCUGCGUACCUCCAAGCUUCAGUGCGGGGAGGCGGAGAGCUUCUGGAAGGGCUGGCUCUGCAGGGUGGGCCUCGGGGCUCUCCCUCUCAGAACCAACGCCGAGCUGUGAGACGGCUCGUGAAGGGGUCUAUGACCCGUCCCCGAGGUGGCCCGGCACCCCAUAUGUGAGCAGAGAAGCUUCCAGAUGCUUCCCCCAGACAUUUAAGCCACCCCCACUUUCACACCCAGGGACAGAGGGGUGACAUUCUCC
ensembl:lncRNA